CGAGGAGUGGGCAAGCCGAAGGUCCGCAUCCCCGAGGGGCCCACCUGCCAAGAUCGCCUUCCCCGGGGCACAGCAGACAAACUGCUUCCAGGUUAAGACAACUUAAGGACGGGAAAAGCAGAAACCAUGAAGCGAUUCUGAAGACAAGUUCCAACAUGGCACAGACACUUCCUUUAAGGAGUUGCCCUCCACUGUGGUUGAGGAACCAAGGACCCUUGUAAAUCCAACCAGUCUAUGCACCCUAGUCAUCUAAAGAUCAGGCCACAUGGCCAGAACUGUCUCUCCAUAUCUCCUGAAGAGUCUUGGGAAAUCUUCCACUCAGAUGUGCUGUGUAAAUGGGACUAGGACACACUCUGGAAGUCCCUCCUCCUGCAGCAGGGAGAUGGCCUUGAAUGACCCAUGUGACAGCUCUUGACAGCGGCUGGGCAGCUCCCAGGAGGCUCUGCAGGUGGCAGACAGAGCAAGCCCUCGCAGGCCAAAGCUGGCAGUGCUCCAGACUCCAGCACCACCCCACACCUGCGCUUCUUGUUUCUUCCAUAAACCCUACACUAAUUCCUAGAGGCCACUCUCCUCCCUCACACCACUGAAAGAGGCUACAGCCUAGUAGCUUCUUGGCACUGUGGGGUGCCCAUGUGGCUAUAUGUAUGGCUGGAUGGGCCAGUAAAUGCUGCUGAGCAACAGCUUUCCUGCAGCCUUAGAAACAAACCAGAUUAGGUGACAAGGGUCUCCAGACACUGCCUCAGCUACACCCCAGACAGGAACUCCUAGGGCUUCAACACACAGGAAGAGUUAAAAUCAGAUACUCUCAUCUUGUUAAAAAGCUCAAAGAAAGCCAGAGUGGGCCACCACGGCCACCAACUGACAUCUAGAAUGGCAGAAGCAACCAAGUAAGACAUGAGUAUGGCCUCAGGGCCAGGAAGCCUAUCAGCUUUGGAUCCAAACCCAUGCCUGCAGCCAUAGAGGGAAUGACUACCUACUUGUUAGGGUGUUAACAUUCCUACUAAGUGCUUGGCAAAGGGUGGGUUACCAUGACAGGUCUGCCAAUGAAGGCACCGCGAACUGCGCACUCCGCUGGAAGUGUGCUGAGAGGUAAAGAGACCACACAGGGCCUAUGAGCUGUGUGCUGGAGCUCUGGCAGCUGGUGCCUCACUGUUCUCACUCAACAAAGCCCUGGCCUGUGGGCGAGCACACCACUGGGUGCCCUGGCAGUGUGCGGGAGACCCGCUGCAAGUCCCCUGUGCUUGCCCACUGAUGCAAGGGUAGGGGCUCAGUUCUACCCAGAGCCCCCCAAGGUGAUUUUCUAGAAGAGGUUAAUAUUAGGCAGAAAAUUGCUCAACUGUGAAGGCAUAAGGCCUCUCUCAAAGGUGGGCAGGGCUGGUUGGACAACUUGGACUGGUCCCCUAGAGGGCCUCUGUAGAUCUGAGCUAGAGUCAUAGCUGUGCCACAUGGUGGCAAAGGACUCACAGCAGAGCCCAUACUUACUUUGCUAAGGUACUCUCUCAUCACCUGGAUGAAGUAGGGCAUGGCCAGGUCAAUGAGGUUGUGUCUCCAGGCCAGCUCCAGCACCACAUCCGGGGGAAGCAGGUCAUAGCAAGUGAAGAGAGAGGCUGCGAAGCACUCCUGCUUGCCCUCUUCCAGGAACCACUGCAGCAACUUCUCGGCCAGCUCAGCGUCUCUGGACUCUGCAGCAUGCUGCAUGGCGUCCUGUAAUCGAGGGAGACACACAGCUCAGGUCCAUUCUGCCCUGUGCCACCUGAGGCACUUUCUGAGUUGGUAGGAUACUGAAUGGUGCCAGGCCCCAUGAAGGACAUCCUUGCCUGCUGAGAGGUCCCUGUACCUUGGCUCCCCUCUGGUAGGAUGGAGUACCAGCUCCAGGAAAGCCAUGGAGGACACCAAGUGUACUCUUGGCAGCAGGCUCUCACAGACCUGCUGAAAUAUUGAGAGGGAGGAGGCAUGCAUGGGUGCAGGUGCCCUGGGAGACAGGCUCUGGCCUUGCAGCCCUACUGGCAUGCAGAGGGGAUGCAUGGGGCUGCACAUUUAAAGGGGAUGGUGAGAGAGCUAUCAGAGCCUGCUGCACAGGCCAGGGUCACUGUGCUUGGGUCAACAGCCAGCGCUAUCCUUCCAGACUCAACAUGCAGCAGCUACGAGGGAUAAAGCCAGUGCUUAAGAAACAGCAGUUUUCCCUUUCUUCCUGACAUAAAAAAAGUCCCCUCAAAAGUACCCAAUUGCUACUUUCACAUUUACAGAUUUGUCUAAAAAAUAAAGAAUACCUACCUAGUGACAGCCAUCAGUAAAUUAGUGAUUUCUAUUUUCCAGCCACAAUGGUAAGAAUUAAACAACCUAAACUCUG